rnacentral:rRNA from 1 species
CAGUCGCCGCGGGAACACGUAGGGUGCGAGCGUUGUCCGGAAUUAUUGGGCGUAAAGAGCUUGUAGGUGGUUUGUCGCGUCUGCUGUGAAAAUCCGAGGCUCAACCUCGGACUUGCAGUGGGUACGGGCAGACUAGAGUGUGGUAGGGGAGACUGGAAUUCCUGGUGUAGCGGUGGAAUGCGCAGAUAUCAGGAGGAACACCGAUGGCGAAGGCAGGUCUCUGGGCCAUUACUGACACUGAGAAGCGAAAGCAUGGGGAGCGAACAGGAUUAGAUACCCCCGUAGUCCCUGUCUCUUAUAC